UACGGAGGGUGCAAACGUUGCUCGGAAUCAUUGGGCGUAAAGCGCGCGUAGGCGGUCCGGUUAGUCGGGUGUGAAAGCCCUAGGCUUAACCUAGGAAGUGCAUCCGAAACUGCCGGGCUAGAGUACCGGAGAGGGCGACGGAAUUCCCGGUGUAGAGGUGAAAUUCGUAGAUAUCGGGAGGAACACCAGCGGCGAAGGCGGUCGCCUGGACGGAUACUGACGCUGAGGCGCGAAAGCGUGGGGAGCAAACAGG
rnacentral:rRNA from 1 species